rnacentral:ncRNA from 1 species
GUAAAUUCUACGAUGGGAAUCAGUAGAGACAGAGAAUGCGCGUUUCCAGAGAGCCGCAGUUGGUGUGAUGCGGUAACGGCACUGUUUUGAAUAUCAUCCCUGAGAAGGAAGACCGAACAUUUUUGAUUCAUCAGUAGGUUUUCACGGAGGCUCCCCGUUACAGGAGACGCGUAUGCCGGUACGUUGCAGAAUCGUACUUGUUUCAAUGGAGAAACAGGGUGGUUGCGGAAUAAUAUAUCCGUCCCUGAG